GAAGUACUCCCUCCGUUCGGAAUUACUUGUCUUGGAAAUGGAUGUAUCUAGAACUAAAAUACGUCUAGACACAUUCAUUUCCGCGACAAGUAAUUCCGAACGGAGGGAGUAUAUG
rfam:Triticum aestivum genome assembly, contig: Triticum_aestivum_CS42_TGACv1_scaffold_133736_2BL